ACGUCAAAUGGUAAAUACUUAAUAAUGAUAAGCUGAGAUAUAACACAGUAUUAAGCCAAGCCUUCAAUUCACACAAGCUUUUCAAUGAUUUCACAUUACGCCACACAAGGGACGAGACAUUGCAGUGUAAGUCCCGCCAGGACCAGUUUGAAUUUGGCGCUUCAAUCAGUAACAUCUAGAUACUUUGACAAUUACAGUUAUAAUGGCCUGAGAUUUAUUUUUACACGCUUAUAAUUCUUUAUAUUUAAUUUUCUAUUAGUUUAGUAUAAUAUAAAAGAAGUUGGUGCUUGUUAUUGAAAGCUAAGUGUGUUGUGGAUAGGUUUGCCUGCGUACUGUGCGGAGCAGGCUGGGACGGACGACACAACCAGACGUCAGACACAAGGCACUAGGUUAAAAGGGUGCCAUAAACUGGUGCUUUAUUUAACGUAUUUUCGCAGAACAAGACAGUGACAGGGGCCGUGGUGGGUGCCUGCGUGUGCUGGUGCAAGCUUGGUGCCUGCCGGGAGGUGCCUGCAGUGCCACAAGGGAUAAUAUUGGUAAGAAACCGGCCCACCACUUGUCCAGCCAGCUAAUUUGCACAGUGUGAUGUAACAGGCGGUAACUGUGAUAGUGUUGUUACGUGUCACCCACAACAACAACAACACAGGGCUGUCAGAUACAAAUGUAGAGGGACGAAAUAGGGAAGCAGGAAGACCACCACCACCAUCACCACCAGCAGUGUGGAAGAAAGUUUAGGCAAGCGAAGAAAGUUGGAAAAUUAAUAAUUAAACGCUUGCUGUCUUUUAUUAUCUUGAGUAUAAAAUGGUUAUAUGACAAUCUCUCUCUCUCUCUCUCUCUCUCUCUCUCUCUCUCUCUCUCUCUCUCUCUCUCUCUCUCUCUCUCUCUCUCUCUCUCUCUCUCUCUCUCUCUCUCUCUCUCUCUCUCUCUCAGCUUUGUAUUAGUUACCCGUUGACAGAAGUGACAGCCGCGUUUUCUCUUGUCAGAUGUAAACAAAUCGGUAGUUUCCUUCCAGCUGGUGAUAAAACUCUUUCUCGCUCUUCCUCACUCUCCCACGUCACGGAAGCAGUGUGUGUGUGUGUGUGUGUGUGUGUGUGAAGAAGAAAAUGUUAUAUUAUAUCUACGUGUUUAAAAGUUUCCUUCAUUUAAGUCCAAAGAGGCUGGCUGGCUGAUGCUAAGGAAGGAAGAAAGGGGUGGUGUUUAGGGGUCUGGGAUGGAAAGCGAGUGAUGUGUUUUGUAGCCUUCAGAUAAAAAAUAUUAACAAAGUUUACACAGUGGGAAAAUUUUGGUGGUGAGAGAGAAAAUGACUAAAAUAUUACCUCAAAUUUAACCAAACGUGGUGGAGCUUCACACUCCUCAGCUGACCCUAAUCAAACCAAGCCUAUCCCAAAGAAGCCUACCCUAACUUCUGUCUGGUGCUUCCUCCUCCCCAAGACUGGCUAUCUCGUGUCUUAAUCCCAAGCUGGCCUAACCAAACUUUACCUAACCUAACCUAAGCAAUUCUAACCUAGCCAAACCUUACCUAAGCAAGCCUAACCUAGCCAAGCCUUACCUAACCUAACCUAACCUAGCCAAACCUUACCUAAGCAAGCCUAACCUAGCCAAGCCUUACCUAACCUAACCUAACCUAACCUCACCUAACCUAACCUAAAGAAACCUAGCCAAACCUAACAUAACCUAGCCUAACCAAACCUAACCUAACCUACAUCCUCUUCCCACGGCCCCACUUAACCAAACCUAAUGUAACUUUCAGAGCAACGGCAACCCUCCGAUCCGGCAAGCAAGUUGGCGGCAGCGAUGGCGGUGGCGGCGGCAGUGGUGGUGAGGUGGACGGCAGGGACAGAGGGGCAGUACAGGCUGCGGACAUCAAGGAGAAGAGGAACGCACGGACAAGCAAGGUGUUAUUCGGCAGUCUGAUCCUGGACCUGCUCGGCUUGAAGGUGGUGCUGCCCGUGUCUCCUGCUCUCCUCGACUGUUACUCCAAGCACAACACCAGCGGCUUGUAUUCCUCUCAGCUCUCCUGUGUGACUUAUUACCAGCAUAUCAUCGGUUUCGCUGCGAGGUUCCUUUCUGUCUUGUUUGGGCAGAAGGAGGAGGGACAUCGGUGCCAGUUUGACCGAGGCUUGGGAGGUGAUCAAUCCUAGGGCUCUGUUCUCCAUCAGCUGUGUCAAGGGCCUGGGCAGAGAAGCCUGGAGUUAACGCUGAUCUUCGCGACCCACCACAAGCAUAGUUACGACUCGUUGGCGCAGGACCGCAAGUUUUCCUUCCUGGGCCUGGUCAUGGCAAUUACACAGAGAGGGUUUAUGCGAAGUGUUAAGACUGGAACUGAAAAAGCACCUGCCAAUUAGGCACACACCUACAUUGUGAUGCAGCUCCUUGGAGGUGGAGAGCUGGCUGCCUCAGAGGAUCAGGAAACACGAGAGGUUCACAGAGGCUCGCCUCGGGCUUCGGUCGUCGUGAGGAACCUGGUGUCAGCAGUUCACUACGUGCACAGGAAAAGCAUCAGUGUUCACGGAGACCUAAAGCCAGACAGGGGUGAAAAGGGUUGGUGUUGAGGAUAGACAGAAAAGAAAAGAAAGGAAAGGUAAAAAAAGGAAGUUUUUUUGCAUUGAUUUUCCAUCUGCUUAUUUUAAAGAAUUUAUUGCAUGGAAUAUUAUUGAUCUCCAUCAUUUGUAUGGCCUUUAUAAUAAAAAGUAUGAAU